rnacentral:tRNA from 1 species
AAAUCUAAAAUCUUACAAUGCUGGUAUGUUAACUGUUUUAUCAAAUCGAAUUGGGGAUGUUUUAAUUUUA